GGCGGUUCUCGGGUGACGCACCCCGGAACCAGAGAGGAGAAAGCCUGAUUCUGGGGUGCGUCACCCUAGAGCCGCC
rfam:Myotis lucifugus cont2.12479, whole genome shotgun sequence.